ACGCUGGCGGCAGGCCUAACACAUGCAAGUCGAGCGGUAGAGAGAAGCUUGCUUCUCUUGAGAGCGGCGGACGGGUGAGUAAUGCCUAGGAAUCUGCCUGGUAGUGGGGGAUAACGUUCGGAAACGGACGCUAAUACCGCAUACGUCCCACGGGAGAAAGCAGGGGACCUUCGGGCCUUGCGCUAUCAGAUGAGCCUAGGUCGGAUUAGCUAGUUGGUGGGGUAAUGGCUCACCAAGGCGACGAUCCGUAACUGGUCUGAGAGGAUGAUCAGUCACACUGGAACUGAGACACGGUCCAGACUCCUACGGGAGGCAGCAGUGGGGAAUAUUGGACAAUGGGCGAAAGCCUGAUCCAGCCAUGCCGCGUGUGUGAAGAAGGUCUUCGGAUUGUAAAGCACUUUAAGUUGGGAGGAAGGGUUGUAGAUUAAUACUCUGCAAUUUUGACGUUACCGACAGAAUAAGCACCGGCUAACUCUGUGCCAGCAGCCGCGGUAAUACAGAGGGUGCAAGCGUUAAUCGGAAUUACUGGGCGUAAAGCGCGCGUAGGUGGUUAGUUAAGUUGGAUGUGAAAUCCCCGGGCUCAACCUGGGAACUGCAUUCAAAACUGACUGACUAGAGUAUGGUAGAGGGUGGUGGAAUUUCCUGUGUAGCGGUGAAAUGCGUAGAUAUAGGAAGGAACACCAGUGGCGAAGGCGACCACCUGGACUGGUACUGACACUGAGGUGCGAAAGCGUGGGGAGCAAAC
rnacentral:rRNA from 1 species